UGAAACGUGUUUGAUUGGGCA
rnacentral:miRNA from 1 species